AAAUUAGAUGUCAGUUGCUUGAAGGCUCAGUGUCACAGCAAGUCUUACCCUACAGUAGGGUUAAACAAGUGCUUGUGCUGUUUAGCAGGCUGCUCAACCCCUAGAGGGAUAAGCCAAACCCAAAGGAGAAAUUACUGGUGUCAGCACUAGAUUUUAAUAGUCAAUAAAAUGCUGAGGAAGAUACUAAAUACUGUAUUCUAUAAAGCAAGGCCAUUACCAUACUAGACUGCUCCUUGAGGUGGCAAAAAAGGUCCAAACUCCUCUCCAUGUAGGUGUUAGUCUUCAGGUUAUGGUAGCAGAUGGUAUUGGCAAGAAAAUUAAAACAAAGACAUUAGAGUUACUUAACCCAGCCAGAAAUUGCAAAUUAAUGUGUUGUCAUGGCACUCUGUGGAUUUAUCAAAGCCAGAGUAAAGCAGGAAUUCAAUAAUAAAGAAGCAUAUUUCCAGGUUAGAAUAAUGCAGUUAUGAUCCAUCUGAAGCACUUUUUACUUUUUUUUUCUUUUGUUAUUAAAGGUGCUUAAGGAUGUUAAAGACAACCACGGUGCAGAGAGAAAUACGCCUGUAAGAGCGCUGGCGUGGCGUCCUCCUAGUGCCAAAGCAGGAAUUCCACCAGCACAAACAGUAAAAGAAUGGCCUCAGACUGAGAAUAAAGGAAAGCACAAACCCAGGAAGCAGCCAGAGCUUUCUGUGUCUGCAUUUUACACUGAAGAAGGAAGAAAUGUGGGUAUGUGUUAUCAGGAUGGGAUGGGUGAAGCCCUUUUCUUAUCAGCACUUCUAUUAUAAAACUGGCAGGAUGGUAAGUCACUGAUAACCAGGGUGCUUUGAACAGUGAGUGGGAGAGAGUUUCACUUACCAAACAGUGGUAAGGAUUUUUACUUUAGAUGCAGGUGGGUGACACUUUUUGCCUGGUUUUUGGGGUUUUUUCUUUUGUAAAGUCCCCUGGGAUCUUUUGGUUGAAGGUGCUCCAAGGAAAAGCACUGUGAACGGUGCUGGUUCAGUUGAUUUGGUUUGGAAUUUUUUGAAGGUGACAAUUUUUUAAAAUAAGUGAUUUUUUAGGUACUUUGUUCAUUUCUUAAAUAGGUACAAUAUAUCAGAGGUAUCCCAAGGCAGGGUGUGUAAAAAAAUCUGUUUGCUCUGUCAAAUUGCCAGAGGAAGAGGAAAUCUGUUCAAGCAAAGAGGUAUUUUUCUCCUUACUAAAAUUGCCAUUUUGGAACUAUCCAUCUGAAUUAAUGUAAAUGUUAACUGUGAUUCUGUACAAUGUGUUAUUACUUAAGCUGUUUUGAUAUUUGCCAACAAUCAAUUGCUCUAUUUGUUUGUCUUACAAGUGGCUGACCAAGUACAGUAUUAAAAAGCUUAACCUGGAAUUGCCCAGACUGAUGUUUGGUCCAGGCUGUACCCACCAGAAGACAGCUGUGGAGUCUCUGCACAAGAAAGUAUCAGCAAAAUACUGUUCUAUCUUCCCCAGUGCAGAAAUCAAUGUAGGUUUUUUUGCAGAUGUCAGGUACCUACAUUAUUGAAAG
rnacentral:lncRNA from 1 species